rfam:Tupaia chinensis contig186702, whole genome shotgun sequence.
UUACUUUGGCAGCACAUAGACUAAAAUGGGAACAACACAGAGAAAAUUAGCAUGGCCGCUGUGCAAGUAUAACUUACAAAUUCAUGAAGAAUCCUCCUCCCUUUUUUU